GGUUCCAUAACUCAGUUGGUUAGAGUGUGAUGCUAAUAGACGACGUCAAAGUCGAGGGUUCGACCCCCUCUGGAACCA